rnacentral:rRNA from 1 species
GUUCGCCGCCCGUGACUCGGCGAAAAGUCCAUUGAACCUUAUCAUUUAGAGGAAGGAGAAGUCGUAACAAGGUUUCCGUAGGUGAACCUGCGGAAGGAUCAUUG